rnacentral:rRNA from 1 species
AACGAACGCUGGCGGCAGGCUUAACACAUGCAAGUCGAACGGUUGUAGCAAUACAGCAGUGGCAGACGGGUGAGUAACACGUGGGAACCUUCCUAGGGGUACGGAACAACUCAGGGAAACUUGAGCUAAUACCGUAUACGUCCGUAAGGAGAAAGAUUUAUCGCCCUUAGACGGGCCCGCGUCGGAUUAGGUAGUUGGUGGGGUAACGGCCUACCAAGCCUACGAUCCGUAGCUGAUCUGAGAGGAUGAUCAGCCACACUGGGACUGAGACACGGCCCAGACUCCUACGGGAGGCAGCAGUGGGGAAUCUUGGACAAUGGGCGCAAGCCUGAUCCAGCCAUGCCGCGUGAGUGAAGAAGGCCUUAGGGUUGUAAAGCUCUCUUGGCAGGGACGAUAAUGACGGUACCUGCAGAAUAAGCCCCGGCAAACUUCGUGCCAGCAGCCGCAGUAACAC